UGGUGAAGCGCCGGGGCUGCUAAUGCUCCCUCCCCUCUUCCUCUUUGGCUCUCUCUCUCUCUUUUUCCAGACACCUUAAGGAAUUCAACAACCCCUCCCCUGCACACAGGCUUCUUCCAGCCAGAUGCCAUGUUGCAAGAUUUCCUCUGGAGAGGGCCUCUUGGCAAGGAACUGAUGUCUCUGGCCAGCAGCCAGCGAGGACCUAAGAUCUGUCAACAGCCAUGCAGAAGGGACAAUGAAUUGUGACUCGGAAAUUAAUCAGAUGAGACCUGAUGACUGAAGUACAUCACAGAGCUAGGAAGAGAGAUUACUAAGCAACACGCCCUUUUUUUCAGACAUCUCAGUUGACAACCUGAGCAAUAGCUCUGACCUGGAAGCAUCCAGCUUUGUAGCCAAAGAGAAAAAGCGCAGACCUUUGUCCCAGAAUUCUCAUCAAAAGUGUCUUUCAUCUCAUUGGCCCUGUGUGAGUCAUGUGCCCACCCCUAAACCAAUCACCAUGGCCUCAGGAAUGCAUUGUGUUGAGUAGUUUAGGCUGGGGUCAGUUUUAUCCCCAUCCAAACAACAGAGCUGAAAUCCGAGGAGAAAUGAUUUCCCAAAGAAAAUUCCAAGGAUCAUUUAACAGAAGAAAUGUACAAGAUUCUGGGGACAGAACUACAGGCAUCCCCCAAGCUCCCAAGGCCUGUAACAAACUUCCACUGCCCUAGGACUCAGCCUCCUGAGGAACCACUUCUCUGUGUAAAUACUUAAACCCAUCCCAUGGCUGACACGCACGUGGCCCAUGGAAAAGUGGCUUCUGUAGGACACACCUCCUCCUUUUCCCAAAUGGACUUUGUUCUUAAAAUCCUUUAAUGAGGAGCAAGCAAGCAUCACUCAUCUAUCUGGAUGUGGACUCAGGGCCAGAGGCAUUUGAUGAUUUAUUAAUUGACCCACCAAAUCUAGUUCGUCCCCAUAGGCCAGUGCUAACAGGCCAUUUCAUUUAUUACUUGGCAAAGUUUGACCUCAUGAAGCAGAUCCCUUUUCAAUUACUUCUUACAGAAAAAUUUCCUUUGGCAAUUCAGUGCAAUGAACUUUUAUUAAGCACCAAGUAUGUGUCAUGGACUGCUGGGCUGGGUACAAAGAUGUGCUCACAACCCAGCAGAUGGAACAGGUCUGUGAAUGAAUGAGUGCAGUGCUGUUCAGACAAUGUUCUAUUCAUUUUCUAAGGCAGCCAUAAGAAAUUGCCACAAACUUGGUGGUUUCACACAAAAGAAAUUUAUUCACUCACACUUCUGGAGGCCAGAAGU
rnacentral:lncRNA from 1 species